rnacentral:miRNA from 1 species
GCCACAGCAGGUGCCUACAUUGCCUCCCAGACGGUGAAGAAGGUUAUCGAGAUCAACCCCUAUCUGCUAGGCACCAUGGCUGGAGGCGCAGCAGAUUGUAGUUUCUGGG